CUUAUAGAGAGCGGUCGAGGGACGGGCCCGAUGACACCCGCCAACCGGCAGAAAUGCAUGGUGGCAAAUCCCGCAGCGUGCAUACGCUGGCAGAUAAGG
rnacentral:ncRNA from 1 species